ACGUAGGCGGCUCCGUAAGUCUGGUGUGAAAUCUCACGGCUCAACCGGGAGGCUGCACCAGAUACUGCGGAGCUCGAGGACGGGAGAGGAGAUUGGAAUUCCCGGCGUAGCGGUGAAAUGCAUUGAUAUCGGGAGGAACACCAGUGGCGAAGGCGGAUCUCUGGCCCGUUGCUGACGCUGAGGUGCGAAAGCUGGGGGAGCGAAAGGGAUUAGAUACCCUGGUAGUCCACGCCCUAAACGAUGCGCACUCGCUGGAGGGGCGCAAGCUUCUCUGGCUUAGGAAACCGUUAAGUGCGCCGCCUGGGGACUACGCCCGCAAGGGUGAAACUCAAAGGAAUUGGCGGGGGCCCGCACAAGCGGUGGAGCAUGUGGUUUAAUUCGAUACAAACCGAAGAACCUUACCUGGGCUUGACAUCCACGAGAAACGCCUGGAAACAGGCGCCUCGGGAAGCCGACCCGUGGACACCGGUUGCAUGGCUGUCGUCAGCUCGUGCCGUGAGGUGUUGGGUUAAGUCCCGCAACGAGCGCAACCCCUGUCCUCUGUUGCCAGCGGGUCAUGCCGGGCACUCUGAGGAGACUGCCGUGGUCAACACGGAGGAAGGUGGGGACGACGUCAAGUCAGCAUGGCGGUUACGUCCAGGGCGUCACACAUGCUACAAUGGGUGGUACAAAGGGCAGCCAACGCGCGAGCGGGAGCGAAUCCCAAAAAACCACCCUCAGUUGGGAUCGCAGUCUGCAACUCGACUGCGUGAACGCGGAAUCGCUAGUAACG
rnacentral:rRNA from 1 species